UUGUUCGGAAUUACUGGGCGCAAAGGGCGCGUAGGCGGCCUUCUAAGUCGAACGUGAAAUCCCCGGGCUCAACCCGGGAACUGCGUCCGAUACUGGAAGGCUUGAAUCCGGGAGAGGGAUGCGGAAUUCCAGGUGUAGCGGUGAAAUGCGUAGAUAUCUGGAGGAACACCGGUGGCGAAGGCGGCAUCCUGGACCGGUAUUGACGCUGAGGCGCGAAAGCCAGGGGAGCAAACGGG
rnacentral:rRNA from 1 species